CUAAGUUUGAUGGCGACCGGCGCACGGGUGAGUAACACGUAUCCAACCUGCCGAUGACUCGGGGAUAGCCUUUCGAAAGAAAGAUUAAUACCCGGUGGCAUAGUUCUUCCGCAUGGUAGAACUAUUAAAGAAUUUCGGUCAUCGAUGGGGAUGCGUUCCAUUAGGUUGUUGGCGGGGUAACGGCCCACCAAGCCUUCGAUGGAUAGGGGUUCUGAGAGGAAGGUCCCCCACAUUGGAACUGAGACACGGUCCAA
rnacentral:rRNA from 1 species